AGCGCAGCAAGUCAUUUGUAUUGGCAAAAAGGAGUAUUUGUGAGUUUACCGGCUGUCUGUUCAGAUCUUUUGUUUCUUUUUGGUACUUUUCUGUAUUUGCUUUGUAUUCCCGUGCUGCUGGAGGUGAUGUUUUUUGCCCAUUAGGUCUUUCCUUCUGGCGUCCUUGAUUACAUUCAGGUGAGUAGCGCGCGCGCGCUCAGUCAGCUGCCGUUUGCCGCGACAAUCAGGUUUCAGAAAUAACCA